rnacentral:ncRNA from 20 species
AAACAAUUUUAUAGAUUCGGUUCUAACGGAGAACAGCCGUUAGAGGAAACGGGGAAAGUCCGGUGAAAAUCCGGCGCUGUCCCGCAACUGUGAUGAGGCUUUGUCCUCAGAGUCAGAACGCCCGCCGAGUUAUUACUCACUUAC